UUGAUCUGCUUUUUGAGACAUUAGUUUUACUGUAUUUUCUUAACUUUGUGGCUGUGGGUGCACUUGGGUGCAGUCCCUUUUAAAAGAUCAAAAUAAACAUAAAAUUAAUAGAUCAAUUAAAUAAUCGGUGAUAUUAAAUUACACAGCUGCAGAUGUAAGCAGGACAUGCAAGAAGAUGGUUGCCUCCUCUCUACUAGUUUUGCUUUGGAAAACAGAUGCCCAAUAUCCGGCAGCUGAAGAAGAGGGAGACUAAGACAAGUAAAUGGACCAAAGAAGCCAUGGAGCAGGCCAUGCAGGAGGUGCUGGCAGGCAGGCUCACUGCAAGGCAGGCAGCCCAGAAAUUUGGAAUACCAAAGUCCAGCCUGAGUGAGCGACUCAGUGGACGGGUGGCCGCUGGUUCUGUCCAUGGCCAGAAGCAGUUUCUAACCCCUGAAGAUGAGAAUUCCCUGGUGGAGUAUUGUUUAUACUCUGCCAGUCACAGCUUUCCACUAAUUAAGUCUCAGGUUGUGGCCCACGCUAUGGCCAUUUAUAACUAUCGUAAUCCGGACAAACCAAAGACUGUUCUUGGAUUCAUUUCAGAGAGCGGCACCACCAUCGCCUUGCCACCAAGACAAACAAAAAAAGAAGACUGCCCUUCAGGGCCCCUCCAGCCAACAGCUCUGACCAGUCCAUCGCCAGUCCCUCAGCCGUCUUUGCUCCCAGUUCUGCCUCCCACAGUCCCUCAAUGCUUACCCCCAAGACACCAUCCCACCUGAGCUUGCCUUCCAAGGACCAGCAUCAGCAGAUAGUAGAAGCUUCCAACCUUUGGCAGACCUCCUCCUCGCCUCCAGCUCCCCUGUCAUGUGCUUCCUCCUCCACUGCUGGACCCACAGCAGCCACCAGUCACAUAGCUGCAAAGAGACAAAAACAGGAAAGGAAGAUUUUGCGAUGUGGACAGUGCAGACAGCCUUAUCCUCCACAGGAUCCAGAAGGAUUGGUGUUGUGGGUUCAGUGUGAUAACUGCCACAAAUUGUUUCACACUUUUACACAUUAACACAUUUGUGUAAGCUCAGAGAUGGACCUGGAUGAAGAUCAGUUUUGGUGUUUUUGGUGUCUUGAUGUUUGAUUUUGUUUUAGUCUACUUUUUGUCAUUUCAUAAUAAAUUAAAUUUCUGUUUCUUGAUUUGCUG